CUUUCUUUUCCCUCUGCUGUGCUAUUUCAUCUGUACUUGGAGGUGUGACAGCCUCUAAAUUUUAGGUGCAAAGGUUUGUCUUUAAUCAGAUAGUAGAAUUAUUCUUAGGGUUUGAGAGAGACAAAUGGGAUAAAAGCAUUACCUGCUGGCAAAUGCGGCUUAAAGGUUCAGGAACCAUGGACUGAAGUGAGCUUUCCAUUUGUUUCACGCAGGGAAACUGGCGGCUGAGGCUCCUGGGGAUCGUGACUGGUUCUGGACAUGACUGGCUGUGGCAGAACUGAGUGGCACUCAGUGGAUUUUAGCAAAGCAUCAGAAUCCUCUGGGGAGUUCUUGCAAACUGCACAGGAGGAAUACAAGGCUUUCUGCUGACAUCUUUGCAUAUUUUCAGUGCAUUUG
rnacentral:lncRNA from 1 species